AUUUUGAAGAGCGCAACCAAAUUUAAGCAAAACUAGUGGUUUGUUUUUGUUUGUUUUUUAAAAUGUGUUACAUAUUUCAAAUAAAUGGAAUAGAGGAUAACGAAAUAAGAUACGUCUCUUUUUUUCCUUCGCUUAGGGCGUUUGGUUCAGCUAUCCAAAACUAUACAUCUUGAAUCACUUGUUAGUCAUCCAAGAACUGCCACAUUACCUAGCAGCAAACAGAUAUUUGAAGCUGCUGGUGCCUCUGGAGUUCCACGGACAUCAAGGUGUAGCGUCCUCCAGAGUCUUGCAACUGUGCAUAAACCUUCUAUUCAGCCACCACUAACCAAAGCUCACAAGCAGAAAUAACUGCAUUGGGCAUAAAAAUACAUGAAGACUAAUUUUCAAACAGUCCUGUUCACUGAUGAGUGCCGUGCAACCCUGCAUGGUCCAGAUGGAUGGAGUAGUGGAUGGCUGGUGGAUGGCUACCCUGUUCCAACAAGGCUGCGACGUCAGCAAGGAGGUGGUGGAGUGAUUUUUUGGGCCGGAAUCAUGGGAAGAGAGCUGGUUGGCCCCUCUAGGGUCCCCGAAGGUGUAAAGAUG